ACAAACGCUGGCGGCACGCCUAACACAUGCAAGUCGAACGCAGUAGCAAUACUGAGUGGCAAACGGGUGAGUAUAAUGUGGGAAUCUGCCUUUUGGUUUGGAAUAACACGGGGAAACUUGUGCUAAUACCGAAUAAGCCCUUACGGGAAGUUUUAAUGCCGAAAGAUGAGCCCGCACUUGAUUAGCUAGUUGGUAAGGUAAAGCUUACCAAGGCAACGAUCAAUAGCUGUUCUUAGAGGAAGACCAGCCACAUUGGGACUGAGACACGGCCCAGACUCCUACGGGAGGCUGCAGCAGGGAAUAUUGU
rnacentral:rRNA from 1 species